CCUACGGGUGGCAGCAGUGGGGAAUAUUGGACAAUGGGCGAAAGCCUGAUCCAGCCAUGCCGCGUGUGUGAAGAAGGCCUUCGGGUUGUAAAGCACUUUCAGUGGGGAAGAAAGCCUUGGGGCUAAUACCCUCGAGGAAGGACAUCACCCACAGAAGAAGCACCGGCUAACUCCGUGCCAGCAGCCGCGGUAAUACGGAUGGUGCGAGCGUUAAUCGGAAUUACUGGGCGUAAAGCGCGCGUAGGCGGUCUGAUAAGCCGGUUGUGAAAGCCCCGGGCUCAACCUGGGAACGGCAUCCGGAACUGUCAGGCUAGAGUGCAGGAGAGGAAGGUAGAAUUCCCGGGGUAGCGGUGAAAUGCGUAGAGAUCGGGAGGAAUACCAGUGGCGAAGGCGGCCUUCUGGACUGACACUGACGCUGAGGUGCGAAAGCGUGGGUAGCAAACAGGAUUAGAUACCGGGUAGUC
rnacentral:rRNA from 1 species